rnacentral:rRNA from 1 species
GAUGAACGCUGGCGGCGUGCCUAAUACAUGCAAGUCGAGCGAACGGACGAGAAGCUUGCUUCUCUGAUGUUAGCGGCGGACGGGUGAGUAACACGUGGAUAACCUACCUAUAAGACUGGGAUAACUUCGGGAAACCGGAGCUAAUACCGGAUGAUAUUUUGAACCGCAUGGUUCAAAAGUGAAAGACGGUCUUGCUGUCACUUAUAGAUGGAUCAGCGCUGCAUUAGCUAGUUGGUAAGGUAACGGCUUACCAAGGCAACGAUGCAUAGCCGACCUGAGAGGGUGAUCGGCCACACUGGAACUGAGACACGGUCCAGACUCCUACGGGAGGCAGCAGUAGGGAAUCUUCCGCAAUGGGCGAAGGCCUGACGGAGCAACGCCGCGUGAGUGAUGAAGGUCUUCGGAUCGUAAAACUCUGUUAUUAGGGAAGAACAUAUGUGUAAGUAACUGUGCACAUCUUGACGGUACCUAAUCAGAAAGCCACGGCUAACUACGUG